rnacentral:lncRNA from 1 species
AGGUGCUGCUGCCGCGGCCGCCAGGGAGGGAGGUGUCGGAGGGCGGGCCCCGCGCGGUGCUAGGGUUCCGUCUGGACUGGCGGUGACACAUCGUUAUCUGCCAAUUCUUCGCAGACGUAGAGAACGGACUGCAGAGUUAAUAAACGUCGAGGGGAAGCUUUGAUGCGCCCCAUUUGGCCCUGAGAGAUGCCACGUGAUCGUCAUUUUAAAUCCUUUCCUGGGCUUCCCGAUGGACUCGAGUUUUUACUAUGUGAGCAUCCCGGUGCCUGCACAGCAAGGACUCUCAUUGGGUUCCACACGUGCUGCGCAGAUCCCUGACGCAGCGUUCACUGAACCUCAACUGCAGGAGCUUCAUUCCUGAGGACGCUGUUACCAAGAAUGACUUGCCUCUUGAAGAAUGAGUUUGCAAAGCCGGCAGUUAGAUUGCUGAUGUCCAAAGUAAGUAUGUGUAGCAUCACUAAAGAGAAAAUUCAGGAUUCCUGGAAAACAGUUAUGGGCUCUCUGCAGUGUUAUUUUUGUAAUAAAAAACAUAUAGCAUAUGUGAAAUACCUACUGGGUGAUGCAGGACACAUAGAAGGCUCGAAAUUAAUGUGAAUCAUUCUCGUUUUUCUGACUGUCAUUAAAAGUCCCCAUUUGUAUUAUGUA